GCUUGUGAAUUCCAUUUACUGUGCCCUCAGACCUGAUGAUCACAGUAGGCUGAGCACACAAAACCUGCUCUGCUGGCAACAGCCCUUGUGCAGUAGCUAUUUAGUAAAAAAAAAAAUCCCUUUGUGGAACUGGCAGAUAGCCUGCAUUUGCAAAGAUGGGAAUUUUUGUUGGUUAUAUAUACAGUGUUUAAUACAAUGAUCAAGGCAAUGUGCUCUUAGAAGAAACCAUUCCUACUCUGAAUAAAUGGAUGCUACUCAGCAUGCAUUUUCUGGCUGGACUGAAUUCAAGCCUCCCAUUCUGAAAUGGAUAGCUUUUUUGGAUCGCAUUCACUUGUCUCCCAGACAAAUCUGUAGUGUGGAUUUGUUCCUUAGAUGAAUGAUACACAUUUCAUCCGGUUUCUUUCAAGCUGAACUCCGCCUGGCACAAGAAUGCUUAAAAUACACAAGAAGAUGCCUGUUGGGGCUGAAAAACCCUGAAGAUAGACAAAGCUGUAGAGUAAAAUGGAGCUGAAGCCAGCCUUGUCUGGGGAGUCCCUGUGUGUGCUGUAUCAGAGGAACAGCUGGGGUCUGCUACUGACACCAUUAUGAAACUCACAUUACUUUCCACCUGACUGUAUGCUUAGUGUGAGUGCCCUGUCCAGCAAAAUGGAGAGCUGAUGCUUGUCUCCUUUUUACUCAGUGUCUGUGGGAAGGUCACUUAGAGCAGCAUUUGCCUGAGUCACUUUGUCACAAGCCCUUUCAAAAGGCAUUUGCUGUACAUAAACUGCUCCAAGAUGAGGAGCAGGCACAAAGGGACAUACUUAUACAAGUUUCUACUCAGAGAUAGAAACAUAAAGACACAUAGCUUUGAAGGAAAAGGCCAAGACCCUGAAAAUAACUGGCCAGGAUAAUGGAAAUUGUUAAAAGAAUGAUUGGGAGCAGCCACAACCAUUUCCAGAAUCACUACAUUCAUCAAGCUGAAAAAUGAGCCUGGUGGUAGCAGUACAUCCAGACAGCCAAGGACUCCAAGGAAUACUGGUAAUCCAUCCCUCUGCCUGGUUGGAAUCUUGUCUGGCUGAGGAAGCCACAGGUGCAGGGGAGCUCUGUGUGCAACCUGGGAUGGUGAUGUUGACUUGGCUCAUCCAGAGCCACUCCAGAGCUGCCCUCCAGUGCCUGUGUGUGCUGCCAGGGUGGCUGGGUGUGUGCCAGCAAUUAGGUACCCCAGGAGUCUCUGGAAAGUGAUCACAGGCUUGUGCAGCUCUCCCUGCAGCACAGCUUUCCCCAGCAGAGUACGAUGGCUGUAACAUGGGAGGGAGCUUGGCUCUACGCAUGCUGAGCACCCUUAUCUCUCAAGUGCCCUAACUAACAUAAUUAGAUUAAGCUAAGAGGAAUUGGGCCUAAUCUAGUUUCUGUCUUAGAUUCUGCCACUCCUUUUCAGACCCAGAGAAAGGACUUUGAGUCCAAAAGCCUGCCUGUUCUUUCCAAUUAUAUUAACUGGCCUAAAAAAAGAUUUUUUUGUUUAUGUUUUUUCUACAAACUCUGUUUCGCUCUUGCUACAAUACAAUUGUUAGUUCCAUCCUGGAAUGAUUGGCAUGUAUGUAAAUUGGAAUAAAAGAGUCUGAUUUGAACUGUUAACUAAGUU